rnacentral:rRNA from 1 species
CCUCUCGGGGGUAGGCGGGCAGAACUUGCAAGUAUUGGCNAGAAUAUUCAGGCUUAUUAUGUUGGCAACUGAGGUGCUUUAUUAUGUUGUCCGUUUCGGCGGAUUGGCUGGUGUGUGCCCUUUGGUUUGUUGAUGAUGCGCCGCAUUUAUUCUCGUCAUCGGGUUGCAUGUGACUGAGGUUAUUUGGUAGUUUAGGUGCUGAGAGUCUGCGAAGCCUUGUUGUUUCGAGUCUUGGUUUCCAACUACUACUGCGGUCAUUAGAGAUGAAUGAGCAGGCGUUUAGGCGCGGUCAAAGGCUUGUACGAGUUGUGUGCGUAUGAUGUGUGGACGGUUUUACCGUAGCAUGUUGUACGAGGCUGAUUGUCGGUACGAGUAAUAUUUGGCUCUGUUCAGUGGAUUGCAAUCUAAUGCAUGCGUGGUCUGCCUGU